GCAAGUCGAACGGGAAAUAUUUUAGCUUGCUUUAAUAUUUCCAGUGGCGGACGGGUGAGUAACACGUGAGUUACCUGCCCCGGAGUGGGGGAUACCCUCUCGAAAGAGAGAUUAAUACCGCAUACGAUCGUAAGAUUAAAGGUGGCGUAAGCUACCGCUUUGGGAUGGGCUCGCGGCCUAUCAGCUAGUUGGUGAGGUAAAGGCUCACCAAGGCGAUGACGGGUAGCUGGUCUGAGAGGACGACC
rnacentral:rRNA from 1 species